ACGGGAGGCAGCAGUGGGGAAUAUUGGGCAAUGGGCGAAAGCCUGACCCAGCGACGCCGCGUGAAGGAAGAAGAUCUUCGGAUUGUAAACUUUAGUCAACAGGGAAGAAGAAAGUGACGGUACCUGUGGAGGAAGCCACGGCUAACUACGUGCCAGCAGCCGCGGUAAUACGUAGGUGGCGAGCGUUAUCCGGAAUUACUGGGUGUAAAGGGUGUGUAGGCGGGCUUGCAAGUCAGAUGUGAAAACUAUGGGCCUAACCCGUAGCCUGCAUUUGAAACUGUGAGUCUUGAGAGUGGGAGAGGUAAACGGAAUUCCCGGUGUAGCAGUGAAAUGCGUAGAUAUCGGGAGGAACAUCGGUGGCGAAGGCGGUUUACUGGACCAUUACUGACGCUGAGACACGAAAGCGUGGGGAGCAAACAGGAUUAGAUACCCUGGUA
rnacentral:rRNA from 2 species